AUUGAACGCUGGCGGCAUGCCUUACACAUGCAAGUCGAACGGCAGCACGGGGGCAACCUGGUGGCGAGUGGCGAACGGGUGAGUAAUGCAUCGGAACGUACCUUUCAGUGGGGGAUAACGUAGCGAAAGUUACGCUAAUACCGCAUAUUCUGUGAGCAGGAAGGCAGGGGAUCGCAAGACCUUGCGCUGAUUGAGCGGCCGAUGUCAGAUUAGCUAGUUGGUGAGGUAAAGGCUCACCAAGGCGACGAUCUGUAGCGGGUCUGAGAGGAUGAUCCGCCACACUGGAACUGAGACACGGUCCAGACUCCUACGGGAGGCAGCAGUGGGGAAUUUUGGACAAUGGGGGCAACCCUGAUCCAGCCAUGCCGCGUGAGUGAAGAAGGCCUUCGGGUUGUAAAGCUCUUUCGGCCGGGAAGAAAUCGCACGGGCUAAUACCCUGUGUGGAUGACGGUACCGGAAUAAGAAGCACCGGCUAACUACGUGCCAGCAGCCGCGGUAAUAC
rnacentral:rRNA from 1 species